rnacentral:lncRNA from 1 species
UCUGUGGGUCUGGAGGAUUUUCUUGAAUUUGUCGUCUAGUUGUUCUAUUGAUCUUUUUCUUUAGCAACUCCAUCUUUAAUGUGCAAUAACUCUGGUUUGCUCUUUGAAUGUUUUAUUUUUACAGCACCAAUUUUUGGAAGAGUGGGUGUAAGAGCCUUCUAAUCAGAGAGCAUAGCAUGUUCAAAGGCUCUAGAAUAGGAGAGAGGAUGGUGUGUUCUAGGCACUGAAAGGAGGCUUUUUGGAUAAGUGUUUUCAUGGUGGGAAAUGAGCUGGAACUUGAAUGAUAGGUAAGAAUUUUAGUGAUGAGAAAAAGUAAAUGGGCAUGAACAAUGAACUACGUGUUAGUCCUUUUAGUGUUGUUAUAAAGAAAUACCUGAGGCUGGGUAACUGUGACCUGGGCAUUUGAUCUCUAGUCUAUGGUUGGGCUCCAGAUGUGAAAAGCCUCCUCAAUUCCCACCUCAGUCCCAUUCAGAGCUGAGAAUUGCUUUUUCCUUUACAUCUUAGUUCAUUUGUAAGAGGUGCAUGCUCAUUUUCAGCCAGAUUCGUGGGCCCCCCAAGGUCUGUGAGACUGUGGCUUCAUUAAUGCCAAAGAGACCCUUGGAGACAGUUGGGGUGAAUAAAAGGGUUGAAGCUAGAAGGAUUUAGGGAGAGAACUAAAGUAAGAGCCAGAGAAAGAAGAUCUAGUUAAAAUUCCAUGGGGGCUGGAAUCUUGGAAUGUUAGCAUCCUAAGGACCUGAAACAGCAUCUUAGGCUCUCAUCUUAUAGAUGUGUAAACUGAGGCUCAAAAGAAGGCAGGGACUAGUCCAAAUUUAUAUGGGGCUGAGCUGCAGAACACUUCCAGAAAAGCCCUUACUCA